rnacentral:sRNA from 1 species
CACUAUAGUGGAAGGGAUGUCCAUGCCUGCUUAUAGAAAUGUCUUUGACAAGGAGUAAACCACCAAAACUCACAGACUCUGUGUCUGUCAUACCCAAAGAUACAGUUUGAAAUCUUAUGGAGGCAUAACGCUAUGCCAUUUCAUACUAUACCCGGGAAGAAAAGAAGGAGAACAAACUGAAAGAUUAAGGUACACAACUGAAGAUGUGUGGUAAGGAGAAAAGAGAAAUGUAAGAAAAGCAACAGAAGGAAAAAGUUGUACUCCUAGAAAUGAAACUUCAAGAUGCUGGGACUCCCCCUCAGAGCCCUGGGGACUGAGUCAGCACGAUAUAAAGUGCUAAGACAAUUCUAUUCAGUUAGUGUUGGAGUAAAUGAGUUCCUUCAACCACCCUCGCCUACCUGAUGCCUGGGAGUGUUUUCAUUUCAUUUACCGCUUGCUCCACUAAGCAGAUGUAACGAUCUUUCCCAGAAGAAAGCAGGUGCCCAAGAUUGCUUCACAUCUCAAAUACAGAAUCUACUAAUUAAAGAAGGGAGAAGGGGUGCAGUUAGUACAGAUCUGAUGAAAUAUACAGGAAAGCGUUUUUAAGUAUUCGCAGAACAUCAGAUUUGGACCCAGGAUUAGCAUCCCAUGCCUGUUAUUCUGAUUAUCGUUUCACUUUGAUGUCCUUCAACACUCGUGUGCAAGGUCAUCUCAAUAAGACAUGUUGAGGAAAGAAUGAUGGCUCUGGGUAGAGCUUUCGCUAUAGUUUUCUGCUUACUUCAAGCUGCUUCUGGAGAAAGUGGCAAUGCCCAGGAUGGUGAGUCAUUUCUCAUUCCUUUUUGAAAGGAUUUCAGGUUGUCUUUAGCAUACACGUUUAGGUUACACAGUUCUCUAACAGGCCAGAGCUGGGCAGCAAGAAUUUAGCACCAGUUAGGUCGUUUUGUGGGUAUUUAUCACCAGGACAGAGGGAAUGAGGACAAUGCUGCAAAUGGCUUGUAACUCACAAGAACUGUCAAGGAGCAGUGAAUUUGGUUCAAAGUCUGGCUCAUAAAUGUGGACGGAUGCUGGUGCACUCAGAAAAGAAACCUCUUAUCAAUUCUCUGUUGGGGGCUGGUUGGACAAAUCUCUUCCAAAAUUGUGCCUGCCU